UUUCUCUGGUUUCUCUUCAGAUCAUAUAAACCUUUUGCCCUUUACUAAAGAUUUCUAUGGAGAGGAACACUUCUGAGUCUUAACUCAGUUUGUUUUUAUUAAUUUUUUGGUGG